GCUACGGGCGGCAGCAGUGAGGAAUAUUGGUCAAUGGCCGAAAGCCUGAACCAGCCAAGCCGCGUGAGGGACGACUGUGCCAAGCAUUGUAAACUUCUUUUGUAAGGGGGCAAAAUCCGUCUCGAGCACCUUCCCGAGAGUACUUUACGAAAAAGCAUCGGCUAACUCCGUGCCAGCAGCCGCGGUAAUACGGAGGAUGCGAGCGUUAUCCGGAUUUAUUGGGUUUAAAGGGUGCGUAGGCGGAAUGUUAAGUCAGCGGUAAAAUCACGGGGCUUAACCUCGGCGAGCCGUUGAUACUGGAGGGCUAGAGAGCGGGCGAGGUAGGCGGAAUGAGUAGAGUAGCGGUGAAAUGCAUAGAUAUUGCGUAGAACUCCGAUUGCGAAGGCAGCAUACCGGAGGGGAUCUGACGCUGAGGCACGAGAGCGUGGGUAUCGAACAGGAUUAGAUACCCUUGUAGUC
rnacentral:rRNA from 1 species